rnacentral:lncRNA from 1 species
UUUUAUUUAUUCUUGAGAGAUGCACAGAGAGAGGCAGAGACAUAGGUAGAGGCCUAAGCAGGCUCCCUGCAGAGAGCCUGAUUCAGGAUUUGAACCCAGGACCCUAUGAUCACAACCUUAGCCAAAGGCAGACCCUCAACCACUGAGCCACCUAGGAACCCCGGUGUACUAUUUUCAGACAUUAAUUUCAUGAAAUGAAGUAAUGGUGUUUCUGGCUUUUAAAUAAUUAUUUAAACACAAAAAUUUCUUAAAUAACAGUAAUUUCUGAUGCCUUAAAAAACCCUAUUUUAUUUUUAAAAAGGCAGAAGACCAAUAUGCAAUCAUAUUUCCUCAGUUAAUUUUGUAUUUUCAGAAAACUCACUUGACCUUGGACAAUUUAGCACGUACAUUUAUUAAAAGAUAAUACUUGCUUUAUGCAUCUUCAGAAUUAUUGCUGAAUCAAAUAAAAUACAGAAUAUAUUACUGAAAAGUAUUCUAAAAUUCAGUAUAAUGGAAAAAGAGCACAUUUAAAUUGUGGCUUUCAAGCUAGUGAAUGGAAGAAGAUAAAUCCAAUAUGGGGUUAAUCCCCAAAAUAUAUAAGGAACUUAUGUAACUUAACACCAAAAAAAAAAAAACCCCAAACAAUCUGAUUAAAAAAUGGGCAGAGGACCUAAACAGACAUUUUUCCAAAUAUAUACAGAUGGCCAACGCACACAUGAAAAGAUGCUCAGCAUCACUAAUCAUCAGAGAAAUGCAAAUCAAAACUAUAACUAGAUAUCACUUCACAUCAAUCAGAAUGGCUAAAAUCAGAAACACAAGAAACAAGUAUUGGCAAAGAUGUGGAGAAAAAGGAACCAUAUAAACUGUUGGUGGGAAUGUAAAUUUGUGCAACCACUGCGGAAAACAAUAUGGAAGUUCCUUGAAAAAUUAAAAAUAAAAAUACCAUACAUUCUAAUAGUUCCACUAGUGGACAUUCACCCAAAGAAAAUGAAAACACUAAUUUGAAAAGAUUUAUGCACCCCUACAUUUAUUGUGGCAUUAUUUACAAUAUUCAAGAUAUGGAAGCAACUCAAGUGUCCAUGAUAGACAAGUGGAUAAAGAAGAUAUAGUAUAUAUUUACAUAUAUUUUGGAAUAUAUAUUCUUUCCCUGCUAAGGUUUAUAUUCCAGUGCAGGAAAUAUAGAGAUCCUAUCUUCUUGAUAAAGAUUUUGAGAAAGAAAUAGGAAAAUAAAAAUAUGAAAAAAAGAAAAUAUGUAGCACAUUGCCUGGCAUGAAGUUGAUGUUCAUUAAAUGGUAACUAAAAAGCAAUUUUUGUAUAAAUUAGGCAUAUUUCAUUAUCAAGAGGAAAUUUUACUGCUAAUACUGAUGUACACGCAAGAUGAAUAGUUUUAUUAGUCAUGAAUUUAACACUGUAUUUAUUCAAAUGUUAUUAAGAUUAUUGGUGUAAAGCAGGGAGCUAUUAGGUGAAUUCAUCAAAAACCAUGUAACAUUUUGAAGUUAUAAAAAAAUAAAGUCUUUUACCAACUGAGAACUUUGUGAAUGGCAGCCUUUUUCUCACUAUAGGGUUGGUGAAUAAUGACUGAGCGGAAUGCAUGGUGAGAUCAACCAUCCGCAGCAAUGCAGGCAACAUAACACUGCAUCCAGGAACAUACCAGUUCUGCAGAGCAAAUUAUUAAGAAAAUGUGUUUCUGGUAGAAAUUUUAUUUGUAUUGUCCAAGACAAUGAAAAAGACCACUUUCCAAACAUAGGCUGUUUAAUUCCAGCUCUCCACAGGUGGAGGGAAAGCCCUGAAUUACAGAAUUUUCAAAUUUCUGUGGUGUUCUGAUUUUGUACUGUUCAAUUAUUCUAAUGACUUACUUAUUCAGCAUUGCCAGGGAAUGAAGCAAAAUUAUUACUGAAAUGUAGAUACACUUAAGAAAAUAUUUCACACAUGCAGAAAGAUAAAGACUAUAUAAUGAAACAUUCAUGUAUCCAUGUCCUAGAUAGAAAAAUGUUAACUUUCUGCCCUAUUUUCUUCAGUUAAGUAUAUAUUAGGUUUUGGAAACUAUAUUCUCAUAAAACAAAAUAAUUCAUUCAAGGACAUUGAGUCCCACAUAAAUUAGUCCUACAAAUAUAUAUUUUUUUAAAUCAAGAAAAAAAUAUAACAUUUGGAAAUAUCCUUAUUUUGUGUAAAAAUAAUGUAAGCCUUAAAAAAAAGGUAAUUUCAUGUGAUAUUUACUUUUGCCUAUGAGUCAAAAGGAUAAUAAAAAAGAUAUAUUCUGCAUUUUAUAUAUUUGUAUGUGCACAUAUAUUUCUUGCUUAUGAAAUAAUCUCUGAUACCAACUACCCAGAUUUGGGCUAAAUCUUGCAAAAGAGUGCCCUUCAUCCAAUACCAGCUGCAGGUUCAAGGGUCUCCAGGUCUCUCACUCUUCUGAAUAGUUAUCUACAGGUUCAAGGGGUUCCACUACCCCCUCAGAUUCAAUAAUUCACUAGAUUGAUUCACAUAAGUCAGGAAAGUGCUACACUAUGAUUAGAGGUUUAUUAUUGCAAAAGGACACAAGUCAGAACUAGCUAAAAAGAAGAGAUGCAUAGGGUAAUAAUAAGCUUCCAUUGUCCUUUCUUCAUGGAAUGGGGACAUGCCACCCUC